rnacentral:rRNA from 1 species
CGGGGUGCACCAGGCGCGAAAACUUUGCAAUAAGCGAAAGCUUGACAGGGCUAUCCCGAGUGCCAUCCGCUGAGGAAGGCUUUUACCCAGUCUAGAACGCUGGGGGAAUAAGGAGAGGGCAAGUCUGGUGUCAGCCGCCGCGGUAAUACCAGCUCUCCGAGUGGUGUGGAUGUUUAUUGGGCCUAAAGCAUCCGUAGCUGGCUAAGUUAGUCCCUUGUUAAAUCCACCGAAUUAAUCGUUGGAUUGCGGGGGAUACUGCUUGGCUAGGGGACGAGAGAGGCAGACGGUAUUUCCGGGGUAGGGGUGAAAUCCUAUAAUCCCGGGAAGACCACCAGUGGCGAAGGCUGUCUGCUAGAACGCGCCCGACGGUGAGGGAUGAAAGCUGGGGGAGCGAACCGGAUUAGAUACCCGGGUAGUCCCAGCUGUAAACGAUGCAGGCUAGGUGUUUGGACGGCCACGUGCCGUUCUAGUGCCGCAGGGAAGCUGUUAAGCCUGCCGCCUGGGGAGUACGAUCGCAAGAUUGAAACUUAAAGGAAUUGGC